rnacentral:lncRNA from 1 species
CCAGGUUUCAGGCGGGUUAGAUGCUUGCCCCACACGCCAACCCCUAAGCAGAGAGACUGGAGUAUGCUACCGUGGAGUUAAAGUCUAACUCCUCUGCAGCACGGUGAGGUUCCAGAAUCACUCUCCUUGCAGUCAUAAAGCUAGGAAGUGCAAUGACCAGGCAUGUGGUCCUGACCUCAGACUGAGGAUCCUUGGCCUAGAGUCAAGCAGUUGCUGUAGUCACCGAAACAGCCAAAUUAACUGUCUGCUUAGCCAUGGAUUAAAAUUCAUCCACUGAUCCAAGACAACAGUUUUGACUAGCUGCUUCCAGGGAAAAGAGAGAAAUCCAAAUGACCCAAACGAAGGUUUCUCUGUAGAGGUAUAUACCCUUCCUGCAAAUCACUUUAAAAUGGCUUUCUACUUUCUGGUUUUCUAAAGCCAUCUUCAGAAAGCAGCAUGAAAGACAUCCCAGGACUUGGCUUGCCUCUCCCCCUUUUAACUAAGCUUAACAGUGCA